rnacentral:rRNA from 1 species
UACGUAGGGUGCAAGCGUUGUCCGGAAUUAUUGGGCGUAAAGAGCUCGUAGGCGGUCUGUCGCGUCGGCUGUGAAAACCCGGGGCUCAACCCCGGGCCUGCAGUGGAUACGGGCUGGCUAGAGGCAGGCAGGGGAGAACGGAAUUCCUGGUGUAGCGGUGAAAUGCGCAGAUAUCAGGAGGAACACCGGUGGCGAAGGCGGUUCUCUGGGCCUGUACUGACGCUGAGGAGCGAAAGCGUGGGGAGCAAACAGG